UGUUGGUAUCUUAGUGGCGGACGGGUGAGUAACGCGUGGGUAACCUGCCUUACACUGGGGGAUAACACUUAGAAAUAGGUGCUAAUACCGCAUAACAGGGAAAGAUGCAUGUCUUUUCCUUAAAAACUCCGGUGGUGUAAGAUGGACCCGCGUCUGAUUAGCUAGUUGGCGGGGUAACGGCCCACCAAGGCGACGAUCAGUAGCCGGCCUGAGAGGGUGAACGGCCACAUUGGGACUGAGACACGGCCCAAACUCCUACGGAAGGCAGCAG
rnacentral:rRNA from 1 species